UGAAUCCAGCAUGCUGACUUCAAAGCCAUUGUCUGGGUGAGGCUGUGUGGCACACAUCACCUCUGCAGGCAAGGCCUUCUCAUCCCCCCUGCUCUCUUUCAUCCUUAGCUCGAGGUGUGAAGCCUAACCUCAACACAACAAUUAGUGGAUCAUGGCCCAGCAAGAGAACACAGAACAAACCUCUGGCUCAGCUGUGGAGCUUCCCUGGAACAAUGGAGAUCACAAAACACGUAACAAAGCUCUGCGCCUAGAGAUGCUUUCCUGCCUUGCUGCCAGGAAUGUCAGGACUGGUGCUGGUCCUGCACGUCCAUACAGAUCUGCUGGAUACUGCACAGCAACUGCUGCAUUCCACCCCAGCAGUGAGGAAAAUGAUCCUUGCCCAAUUCACUCGAAUACUGGUAGGAUUCAUUCACUUACAAUGCCUGAAUGAAAGAAAUUAUUAUUAAAUAGUAGUCACAUUUGAUAAUUAUGUCUCACUUCAACCAGACUAGUAAGGUGCAUAUUAUAUCCAGUCACAGUAUUGUAGCACUUUAAAAUUUUAAAUUGGAUACAACUCAAAACAUUUCCCAGAUCCUGCUUGCAUGCAGAAAGUGGUUUAUAUCUUUCUAGCUUAUGCAUACUUCCAGCUUUGGGCUUCUCUGCAAUACUUCACAUGCAACAGCAAAUGCUUCAAGGCUUUUGAUAUAUUUCUCCCCUCAAAAAUUUAAAUAAGGUUUUGGAUUUAUGUCUGGUCUUGCUGAUUCGAAAGGCCAUAAUUCUUUCAGUGGCCCAUGGAACUGAUUUUGGGCUUUGUCUGUGUAUGGCCUUCUACUAAUAUUGUCUUAGUAUAUGUUAGUAUAUGUUCUUGCGAAUUAUGGUCAGAUUCCCUAUAAAUUGCAUAAAAUAGCAGCCUGUGUCAAGGCUGCAUUGAAAUGGAUACUGUAAGGAUAAGGCUGGUGCUGACUUUCUGUUUGGUACUCUUUUUGAUUGCACUGGAGUCACUCAGUUGACUGCAGCAGAGUUCCUCCUGCUUUACUAGCUGCUGAGCUGUGGAUAUGGCCUCAGGGGAGAGAAACUACAGGCACGUAGUGCUUAAAAGACAAAAGGUAAAACAUUUGGGAUGCGCAGGGACCAGUGGACUUGGUGCCACUACACAGGGGAAAUCCUUCUGCCACUACUGAACUCCUAACCCUCACUUCUUCCUUCACUUGCACACCUGCUAUACCACUGGAUGUCUUUUCUCUACUUAUUAGGAACUCAGGGUGAAAUCUGACCUCGGACAAAGUGCUGAAACAAAGACUGUCACCAUGAUGAUUAAGUGGGAUUUUUGCAUAAAUGUGAAGUUUAGCCUUUUUUGAGGGAAAUCUGAUCCACAAGCAUAGGCUGAAACAAAAACAAAUGUUCAAAAUGAUAACAGUGUUAUGAGUACAAACUGUAUGCGAUAUUAAAAUUAUUUCCAGAAAA